rnacentral:rRNA from 1 species
GUGCCAGCAGCCGCGGUAAGACGUAGGAUGCAAGCAUUGUCCGGAUUUAUUGGGCGUAAAGAGUUCGUAGGCGGUUUGUUAAGUCUAGUGUUAAAUAUCAGGGCUCAACCCUGGGACUGCAUUGGAUACUGGCAGACUCGAGUGUGGUAGAGGUAAGUGGAAUUUCUGGUGUAGCGGUGAAAUGCGUAGAUAUCAGAAAGAACACCAGUGGCGUAGGCGACUUACUGGGCCAUAACUGACGCUGAGGAACGAAAGCUAGGGGAGCAAAUGGGAUUAGAUACCCCAGUAGUCC